CCGCGGAGGGCGCCCCCUGCUGCAGACGUAACGGAACGUUGUUGGUUCUCGUAAGAGGCGUCAUUAAGAUAUAACGGUACGGAACAUAGUGGAGAGUAGAUAGUUAUGAACUAAAAGAGUUAUGGCUAGAACCAAGUUGGAGAAAGGACCUCUGACGUCACCACGGGGCAAUGGGGCGGCCCAGGCGCACUUGCUACACAAAAGACAAGUUUUCCCCCUUUAUAGCUAUUAUGUGGCCAAUGCAGAGUGGGUGAAAAAGAAGACACAACAUUUUCAGAACAUCUACAUGAAGGAGCAGAGGAAGGUGAAGACAUCCAGGAAAUCGGGUGUGGGAGCUGAAGACAUCUAUGUUCCACCUUUGAUACUAUGAGUUGCUGACAUUUACGAUGGACGAGGAUGCACAGAGGGCAUCUUUGAGCUCAUUGGAUGAAGAACUAGGAGAAGAUCAGGAUGAUGAUGUGAGAGACUGUAGCACAAUCACAUGGUAAGCACCACAUCAGAGAAGGGUUCCUGAUACACAGAGGCGCCAACGUGUUUGUCGGGAUGUAGAAGCUGCUGCAUAUUCACAGGAUCAACACAGCAACGCCAGCAGGUACAGGUUCAGGAACACCGGAGUGAAGAGGACCUGGAAAUUAUUUUGGUGCCAGUGGAGGCAUUUCCUGCAGAAGAACAAACAACACAGACAUUCAUUACAGAAAGUCAACCCACUGUCCUGGAAACCCAGCAUAUACAAACCACACCACCACCCCCUACUGCUGACCAACUUGCAAGGUCAUUAGACACUUUUAAGACAAAACAGCUUUAUUUCAUGGCCACCCAAAGCCAACAAAUGCUCCAUAUGCAGGGCCACCUUAAAAAUAUGUGCCAGCAGCUAUGUAAAGCAGCAUACACUGAAAGAGUAGCUGAGGGUACCAGAAUCCGGAUGGCAGCAUCUCUAGAUACUAGGCUAUCUGAAAUUAGUAAUGCACUAAGGGCCCAAACAGAUGCUAUUAGGGCACAAAAUGAAACAGUUGGCACCCAAACAGAUACCAUAAGGUCACAAACAAAUGCAUUAGUGUCCCCACACACACACACCUUACUGCUGAAGGCCAACCAAUAAUUCUGAAUGCACCUUCAACUAUAAGUAGUGUCUCAAGUACACCUAUAAGUACCUCUCCUACUACUCCCCCACGCCGUAGUGUAAGAACAAAGGGUGGGGUCCCAAAAGUAGGCACGUCUGCUUGCAGCAGGUCACAAAGAAAAAAAUAAUGUGCCUCAACAUUUAAGAUUAAGGUUUCUGACUUUUUUGUAUUAUGUUUUUCUAUAUUUGUACUGUUUGAAAUUUGGGACUCAUUGUAAUCUUUGUACCCAUGUUUAUUCACAACAAAUACUUUACAGUAAAAAGUUUUGCAAACCACACA